GUGUGUUCAUAAGUAGAGGUGUUGUUCAUGAAAACAUUAUGGCACGGUCUUCCCAAUGCCACAAGAGCUUGGCAACUAAAGUCACUGAUUUUCUUUCCUUUGAAAAUAUAGUUGUACACGUCGAAUGCGUACUUUAUGCUGAAAUGUUUUUUGCACUCAACCACGGCCGGCUAGUCAUCCAAAUGCGCCAAUGUUGGAAGUG
rnacentral:lncRNA from 1 species